UCAAAACAGCGGACUUCGGUCCUUGCUGCACCACUUGUCUUUUGCGCUACCGUAUUGUUUCCUCGGCGGGGCUUGCCUGCCGGUGGACAUUAUCAAAACCUUUUUGUAGUUGGCAAUCAGCGUCAGAAAACAAUAAUUAAUUA
rnacentral:misc_RNA from 1 species